rnacentral:rRNA from 1 species
AAGUCGUAACAAGGUCUCCGUUGGUGAACCAGCGGAGGGAUCAUUACCGAGUUAUACAACUCAUCAACCCUGUGAACAUACCUAAAACGUUGCUUCGGCGGGAACAGACGGCCCUGUAACAACGGGCCGCCCCCACCAGAGGACCCCUAACUCUGUUUUUAUAAUGUUUUUCUGAGUAAACAAGCAAAUAAAUUAAAACUUUCAACAACGGAUCUCUUGGCUCUGGCAUCGAUGAAGAACGCAGCGAAAUGCGAUAAGUAAUGUGAAUUGCAGAAUUCAGUGAAUCAUCGAAUCUUUGAACGCACAUUGCGCCCGCCAGUAUUCUGGCGGGCAUGCCUGUUCGAGCGUCAUUACAACCCUCAGGCCCCCGGGCCUGGCGUUGGGGAUCGGCGGAAGCCCCCUGUGGGCACACGCCGUCCCUCAAAUACAGUGGCGGUCCCGCCGCAGCUUCCAUUGCGUAGUAGCUAACACCUCGCAACUGGAGAGCGGCGCGGCCAUGCCGUAAAACACCCAACUUCUGAAUGUUGACCUCGAAUCAGGUAGGAAUACCCGCUGAACUUAA